AAGACUAUACUUUCAGGGAUCAUUUCUAUAGUUUGUUACUAGAGAAGUUUCUCUGAACGUGUAGAGUACCCGAAACCACAAGGAGGAGUUGUAGUGUUCUCUCCUGAGCGUGAAGUUGGUUUUCAGUGCUGUUUUUACGGCUGCUGAUUGCCGUUGAUGAUCGUUCGUUCUUCUCCUUGGGAGGAGUGAGAGGGAGAGAACACAGUCUGAGUGGU
ensembl:snoRNA U3 Small nucleolar RNA U3